rnacentral:lncRNA from 1 species
CUCAGCGAAGCUAAUAAAAUGAUAGCGUCUGAGACUACACAGGCUAUGCUAUCUCAUCCGUUAUCAUAAUUGCCAAAUGCAUAAAGCCUCAAGUGUGUCUGAUCCCAUUUUAUAGAUGAGAAAACCAAUGGACACAGGGGUUCUGCAACUUGCCUUAGGACACACAGCUGGGUCUAUUUUGGGAUCCUCAUGUUAAAAGGGUAUGAUGACUCUUAGAAGAAUCUCAACAUUCAAGAGUGUUGCUUAAAUAUCUACUUACUUCUAAGUGUGGUGUUUGAGAUUCCAGACAUAGAGCAAAGAAUACCCAGAAGAGAGCUUGAAUAAACUUCCAGUUCAGCAGCCCUCUGCCAGUGUCCACAAGGAAUGGUGGGGAUGGAUCUUUCUGUUCCGAGCUGCAAGAAAGACCCACAUCCAGAUGUCCAGCUUAGGAAUGUUCAAGUUGCACUCAUCUAUUCAUCAUAAGCAGUGUGACAACUCUUUAACCUGACCAGUGAUUUUUAUAAACACUUCCUUAGAGAAAAUAGAAGAAGAUGGAAAAUAAAAUGGCCUGCAGGGAAAACAUGUUGGAAAUAAGCAAAAUGAUGCAUGAAGAAGAAGGUGAAACACUGAGGGGCUGGAGUGUGUCAGCCUAUUAGAUGUCCUGAAUUUAUCGGGUUCUGUGGACUCACUGAACUUGGUGUUGCUCACCAUCAAAGAACAAAUAUAUCUAUAUUCAUAUCUCCCUGUCUGUCUGCGUGUCUAUAUUAAUGGCUGUUUUGAAGAGAGCCUCCAGGGGAAAAAUAAUCAUGUAAGUAAUGGCUAAGAAACCUGGGAGAAUCGAGCUUGGAGAAGAUAAGAUUGGGAGAAGGUGGGGGCCACAAGUAUCAUCACAACCAUCAAAUGUUCAUGGCAAAGAGAAUGAGCAAAUAGAUAGAUGACUCUGAAGGACUGAAGCUGACUCUGUGGAUUAGGAAUACAAGGGGGG